AAUUCGAAGCAACGCGAAGAACCUUACAGGUCUUGACAUCCCUGACAACCCAAGAGAUUGGCGUCCCCUUCGGGGGACAGGGUGACAGGUGGUGCAUGGUUGUCGUCAGCUCGUGUCGUGAGAUGUUGGGUUAAGUCCCGCAACGAGCGCAACCCUCGCCUCUAGUUGCCAGCAUUCCGGUUGGGCACUCUAGAGGGACUGCCGGCGACAAGUCGGAGAAGUGGGGAUGACGUCAAAUCAUCAUGCCCUUUAUGACCUGGGCUACAAACGUACUACAAUGGCCAGAUACAAAGAGAUGCGAAGCCGCGAGGUGGAGCGAACCUCAUAAAAAUGGUCUCAGUUCGGAUUGGAGUCUGCAACUCGACUCCAUGAAGUCGGAAUCGCUAGUAAUCGCGGGUCAGCAGACCGCGGUGAAUACGUUCCCGGGCCUU
rnacentral:rRNA from 1 species